rnacentral:rRNA from 1 species
UGGGGAAUCUUGGACAAUGGGCGCAAGCCUGAUCCAGCCAUGCCGCGUGAGUGACGAAGGCCUUAGGGUUGUAAAGCUCUUUCGGCGGGGAAGAUAAUGACGGUACCCGCAGAAGAAGCCCCGGCUAACUCCGUGCCAGCAGCCGCGGUGAUACGGAGGGGGCUAGCGUUGUUCGGAAUUACUGGGCGUAAAGCGCACGUAGGCGGACUGUUAAGUCGGGGGUGAAAGCCCAGGGCUCAACCCUGGAAUGGCCUUCGAUACUGGCAGUCUUGAGAAUGGGAGAGGUGAGUGGAAUUCCUAGUGUAGAGGUGAAAUUCGUAGAUAUUAGGAAGAACACCAGUGGCGAAGGCGGCUCACUGGCCCAUUUCUGACGCUGAGGUGCGAAAGCGUGGGGAGCAAACAGGAUUAGAUACCCGGGUAGUCC